rnacentral:rRNA from 1 species
GAUGAACGCUGGCGGCGUGCCUAAUACAUGCAAGUCGAGCGAACGGACGAGGAGCUUGCUUCUCUGAUGUUAGCGGCGGACGGGUGAGUAACACGUGGAUAACCUACCUAUAAGACUGGGAUAACUUCGGGAAACCGGAGCUAAUACCGGAUAAUAUUUUGAACCGCAUGGUUCAAUAGUGAAAGACGGUUUUGCUGUCACUUAUAGAUGGAUCCGCGCUGCAUUAGCUAGUUGGUAAGGUAACGGCUUACCAAGGCAACGAUGCAUAGCCGACCUGAGAGGGUGAUCGGCCACACUGGAACUGAGACACGGUCCAGACUCCUACGGGAGGCAGCAGUAGGGAAUCUUCCGCAAUGGGCGAAAGCCUGACGGAGCAACGCCGCGUGAGUGAUGAAGGUCUUCGGAUCGUAAAACUCUGUUAUUAGGGAAGAACAAAUGUGUAAGUAACUGUGCACAUCUUGACGGUACCUAAUCAGAAAGCCACGGCUAACUACGUG